AGCGAACGCUGGCGGCAGGCCUAACACAUGCAAGUCGAACGAACCUUUCGGGGUUAGUGGCGGACGGGUGAGUAACACGUGGGAACGUGCCUUUAGGUUCGGAAUAACUCAGGGAAACUUGUGCUAAUACCGAAUGUGCCCUUCGGGGGAAAGAUUUAUCGCCUUUAGAGCGGCCCGCGUCUGAUUAGCUAGUUGGUUGAGGUAAUGGCUCACCAAGGCGACGAUCAGUAGCUGGUCUGAGAGGAUGAUCAGCCACAUUGGGACUGAGACACGGCCCAAACUCCUACGGGAGGCAGCAGUGGGGAAUCUUGCGCAAGGGGCGAAAGCCUGACGCAGCCAGGCCGCGAGAAUGAUGAAGGUCUUAGGAUUGGAAAAUUCUUUCAACGGGGACGAUAAUGACGGUACCCGGAGAAGAAGCCCCGGCUAACUUCGUG
rnacentral:rRNA from 1 species